GUCUGUGGCUCAGUGAUAGAAUGCUCACCUAGCAUGUGCGAGGCCCUGGGUUCAAUCCUCAGCACCACA
rnacentral:tRNA from 1 species